rnacentral:rRNA from 1 species
UAGUCCAUGCCGUAAACGAUGUCGACUAGCCGUUGGGAUCCUAGCGAUCUUUGUGGCGCAGUUAACGCAAUAAGUCGACCGCCUGGGGAGUACGGCCGCAAGGUUAAAACUCAAAUGAAUUGACGGGGGCCCGCACAAGCGGUGGAGCAUGUGGUUUAAUUCGAUGCAACGCGAAGAACCUUACCUACUCUUGACAUCCUGCGAAUUUGGUAGAGAUACCUUAGUGCCUUCGGGAACGCAGUGACAGGUGCUGCAUGGCUGUCGUCAGCUCGUGUUGUGAAAUGUUGGGUUAAGUCCCGUAACGAGCGCAACCCCUAUCCUUAUUUGCCAGCGAGUAAUGUCGGGAACUCUAAGGAGACUGCCGGUGACAAACCGGAGGAAGGUGGGGAUGACGUCAAGUCAUCAUGGCCCUUACGAGUAGGGCUACACACGUGCUACAAUGGCCGGUACAGAGGGUUGCUAAGCCGCGAGGUGGCGCUAAUCCCAGAAAACCGGUCUCAGUUCGGA